GAUGGCGAGUGAGGAGGAGUCUAGUGAGAAUACAGCGUUUGCUAAAGAGAAGUACAGACACUACUUUAACCUCGUUGAGGUGAAAGGCCAUCAAUAUCAUCCAGGCUAUCCAUGACAUCUCUGGCAUGUUCCGAACCAUCGGCCAGCUUCUGUCUCCGUGUUUCCAUCUUCCAGUCAAAGGUGACCUGCAUGCCCGCCAUUGCAGAGACGUGAUCUCCUUCAACAGUACCAGCACCAGGAAACAAGAGAAAGCCCCCAUUGCUGCCGACCUCGGCAGGAAAAGGUUGGAGACUGUGAGGCUGGCGGGACGAGAGGCUGCAACUUCCUGGUGCCAUGCUGGAGGCCGGUGCUGUUAAUAAAACAAGAGAUAAAACCGGAAUCAAGAUAAAGAGGAAGGUAACAUCCUGGGCGAGGAUCUGGGAUGCAUCAAACACACUUCACUCUUAUCUAGUGCAAACUCUAAAUUGUAUUAGAAUUGUCCUGCAUUACUAUACAACCUCAGUGAAAAUAUGCUAGGUUCUAACACAGGACAUUCGGAAUGGUAGUGAGAGCGCUGACCGUUGGGCCAAAAGCCCGAACUGUCAACCUUGUGUUCAGCGCCUCUCUUAAUGCUGAGGGAAUUUGAUUUACCAACGCAGGCACAAUGGCUGGCAUUGAUUAGAGAUACACAAAAUCUCCGCUAUUGGAGAAAAGUCAUAACGUCUAUCGUAAACAGUCUAAUAGCGUGACACCAUACGUGAGGUGCCGCCGUAGGAUACGUCACCUCUCUUUUGUCCAUCCAAACCCUCCUUCUAGCUUGACAUUGAUGUUUCCCUUCGAGUGCGGAUCAACAUUUGCAAUAAAAGUGGCUGAUGUAAAUGCAGCAUUA